GUUGAAACGCCUGUUCCCGUACGAUCAGCGAAGUUAAGCAAUGUCGAGCCUGGUCAUACCUAGAUGGGUGACCUGCUUGAUAAUACUAGGUGCUGUG